rnacentral:lncRNA from 1 species
GGAAACCUUUCCAGAUUUCUACAUGGUAUCGAGAGCUUCAAUUUUUGCGAUCAAAACUAGGGCACGGCUUCUGUAAUCAAAGGUUGGAGCGGUUUCUCGUCGAUUUUUUUCUUCUCAAGAUCGGCUACAGCACGUGGUUUUUUCUUCUUCUCGCCGAUUGAUUGCAAUCUGCGAUUGCAACUCUGGUUUGAUUUUUUUUUUCACUUUUCUGUUAUUUGCGAUUGCAAGUUAUUGAACCAUUGAUUUCCAAAUUUUUAAUCAGAUUCUUUUAGUGUUUGAAAUUUUCAAUUAGUUUUCGCGUUCGCGUUCUGCAUAAUUUUUUCUUUCUUUCUGCAAUCCAGCUGUUUGCGUCUGGAUUGAUCUAUAAUUCAGCUGUUUGCGUCUGGAUUUGUUUGCAUUUGAUUUGCGUUAGAUUAUGUGCUAGAUUUGAUUUCAAUUUUUCAGAUUAAGUGUUAGAUCGAUUUCGAUUUCUCGUUUGUGUUCAUCGAUUUCGAUUUUUUGUUUGUGUUCAUUGAUUUCGAUUUUAUUUUAUUUUUUGUUAGAACCCAAAACGGUUGCUUGUUUCAUUGAUUCCUGGCAUUUAAUCGAUUUCUUCUAUUUCUCAUCUCGUUUUCGCCUCGUUGUUUCGUUGCUUGUUCCCCUAUAGUUUUAUUUGUUUUCGUUGCUUGAUUUCGUUGGGAACUCCCUAUCAGUCUGCUAGUUUCUUUAAUCCUACUUGGUCGUCCUUUUCCAAUAGUUCGUCCUAUCCAGAAAAAUUGAUUUGUUUUAAUUUGCGUGCGUUUAAAAUCUGUUUUGUGUUUACAGAUUACGUGUUAGAUUUGUUUGAGUUUGCAAUUUGUUUUUUGUUUUUGCUGGUUAUUAAAUUUAAUACUGAAUGAAUAAUUGCAUGCUAAAUCACAUAUGAAUUCAUUUUUUUUUCUUUCUUUUUUUAAUCAGAUAGCAUGCUAAUAAAUAAAAAAAUAAAUAAUAAAUAAAAACAAAUCUCUGAUUGUGUAGUUUCUACCCAAUCGAAAUUAGAUCAUAGCUACAUUUUCUACUCAAUCGAUUGUGUAGUUUAUAGUUUGCUUAUACAUGUAAAUUGCAAUUGCCCAAGUGGUUGAUUGUUAUUUUGUUUGUGACGCAAGGAGUUGGUUUUUCUGGAUUUGCGAGUCAGCUCCUGUAAUCAUUGUUUCUGUUGAGUAGCGAUUUCCAUCUUGAGUUAUGGCAGGAAUUGGAUCAAGCACAUCUGGUGCUGGAAGUGCAGCUGUGACAGCAAGGAUCGAAAUUCUUCAAAUGAUGUACAGUAUUGCGUCACUCUGUCCCACACCUCUUUCAGAAGGGAAUUAUCUAGUAUGGAAAAAUCAAUUUGAAGGUGCAUUGCAAAUACAUAAUUUGUUAGAUUUUGUUUCUGGAAAACUUGGGACUCCGGCUCUAAGAUUAAGUGAUGGCUCUGAAAAUCCGGCAUAUGCGUCUCACAAGAGGAACGAUGGCAUAGUGCUCAGCUGGAUUAAAGCCACGGUAUGUAAGGAAAUUCAGCCUCUACUUUUACCUUGUGUUACUACAUAUGAGGCAUGGCAUAUCUUAGAAACAGAUAUUUCUCCUAUUGAUAAAAAUCAAAUUUAAGCUCUUCGUGAUGAGUUGAAUUCACUAAGGAAGACAAUAGAUAUUUCAAUGAAAGAAUAUAUUUUCAAGAUUAAGAGUUUGAAACACUCUCUAGCAGCAGCAGGAUAUUCAAUGUCUGAUGAAAGAGUGUCAGAGUAUGUUCUCAGAGGUCUUGGACCUGAAUUCCGUAUGUUUAGGAUAUCUCUGAAUUUUCAGAAGGAUAUUACUUUUACAGAACUUGCAGAUGCUCUUAUUAAAGAAGAAAUUUUGAUGAAACAACUGGAUCAACCAACAACUGAAGGGGAUUAUCAGGUGCAUUAUUCCAAUUAUAAUAAGAAUAAUUUCAAUAGAAAUGCUAAAUUUUAUCCAGGAAAAGGCAAGAAUGGUGGUUCUUAUUAUAAACCAUCAUACAAAAAUCAAGGAACAAAGGUCAUAACUGUUCCUUCUCAAAUUGCUCGGAAUAAUUUGCCUCCCAUUCUGAAUCUACCAUCUUCACAGGACAACACAUCUGCGUGUCAGAUUUGUGAGAAAAAAGGAUAUCUGGCUAGAAAUUGCCCAGAUAGAGGUAAUUUUGCUGCCUAUGCCAUGGAGGAUGAUUAUGAUACUCAGAUAACUGGAAAUGAAGAAGAAGCAGCAGCACAUUCUGUAACAGUCCAAGAUCUGGAUUGGUGUCUUGACUUAGGAGCUACUAAUCACAUGGUAGCUGAUGAAGCUUUGCUCCAUGACUGCCAGACCUAUACAGGUAUUGGGUGUGUUGUGAUUGGAUCUGGAGAUAGAUUAGUAAUUUCUAAAAUAGGAAAGUUAGACUUUGAAGUACAUUCAAAGGUUUAUACACUUAAUAGAGUUUUAUGUGUGCCGAAGAUUAAAAAAAAUCUAAUUUCUGUGACUAAACUAUGUAGUGAUUUGAACUGUUAUAUACAGAUUUCACAGAAGGAAUUUUCAGUGAAGAGCCUGAAGAUGCAUCAGACGCUUUUUUCUGGAAUUAAUAAAAGAGGGCUAUACUAUUUCAGCCCGGACAUCAACUGUAAUUUGGGUAUCAAGGUCUCUUCAGAUACAUGGCACAAGAGACUAGGACAUCCUUCUCUCAAAAUUAUGAAUAAAAUAGGACAUGUAUUAGGAUUAAACAAUUCAGAUUUAAAAUCUUUAGAAUUUUGUAAUAACUGCCCUAUGACAAAAAUGUCGAAAUUACCUUUUUCUUGUAAUGAAAUAAAAACUUCUUUUCCAUUGGAGAUAAUACAUAUAGAUCUAUGGGGUCCAGCCCCAAUUGUUUCAAUAAAAAAUUAUAAUUUUUUUGCAACAAUUGUAGAUAAUAAAACAAGGUAUACAUGGAUUAUACCAUUAAGGGCUAAAAAUGAAUUUACUGAUCAGUUUAUUCUAUUUCAGAAAAAUAUAGAAAACCAGUUAGGGCUAAAAAUUAAGAAAAUUUAUGCAGAUGAGGGUGGUGAAUUUCUUAGUACCAAGCUGAAAACUUGGCCAGGACAAAAAGGAAUAACACAUAGAUUCUCAUGUCCCUAUACACCUCAACAAAAUGGGAUUGUUGAGAGGAAACAUAGACACCUGCUUGAGACCAGCAGAUGUUUUUUUACUCAAUCCGGAAUUCCAAAAAAUAUGUGGCCAGAGGUCAUCUCUGCAGCAUGUUUUCUGAUAAAUAGGUUACCUAGUUCUGUUUUAGGGUUCAUAUCUCCCUUUGAGAUGUUAACCAAAAAUAAACCAGAUUAUAAAAUACUGAAAUUAUUUGGUUGUUCAUGUUAUCCCUUAAUAAAUAAAGGAUUAAGGAAUAAAUUUGAACCUACUGCCUAUAAAUGUGUCUUUAUAGGGUAUUCAAACAAACACAAAGGAUAUAUGUGUUUAAAGUUAGAAGAUAAUAAAGUCAUUAUAUCUCGAAAUGUCAAAUUUAAUGAAAAUGAGUAUCCUUUUUUAACUAAAACAGAUACUAAAACAGUAAAGAAGCCUGAAAAGCAAAUGAUAAUACUUCCAAGACUAGCUACUACAAUAAAUUUUGGCUUUCCUAUAAAUACAGGAAACUCAAACAGUGAGUUAAGGGUAGAACCAAAUUUGUCAAGUCAUGUAAGGAGAGUCACUCACAACAGAAUAACUCUACAAAUGACUCAAUGGAUAUAAUCUCAGAGUCAACUGAGAUAAGUAGCUCAGUACCCCAGACCAUGAGAGUUGAGUCUGAUAUGCAAUCUAACACUAGAAGUGAGACAAGACAACAAAGAGAUAUUUCUGAGAAUCAAACAAACACAGUUUGUAACUCAAUAUCACGAGAUAUAAGUAGUAGAUCUGAAGAACCAAUCAACAUAGGAGUUAGAUAUCCGACUAGAGAUAGAAAAGCACCAAAGUUUUUAGAAAACUAUGAGUGUAAUUCUUGCUCUGGCGAAGAGAUAGAACCAUCCACCUUCAGUGAGGCAAGUAAAGAACCUAAGUGGAAGGAGGCAAUGCAAGAGGAACUAGAUGCAUUGAAAGUUAACAAAACAUGGACUUUAGUACCAAAAAAUUCGUCAAUGAAUAUAGUAGGUUGUAAGUGGGUCUAUAAAAUUAAAAAGAACUCAGAUGAUUCAAUAGAANNNNNNNNNNNNNNNNNNNNNNNNNNNNNNNNNNNNNNNNNNNNNNNNNNNNNNNNNNNNNNNNNNNNNNNNNNNNNNNNNNNNNNNNNNNNNNNNNNNNUACAGUCCAGUAAUUAGGAUGAACACAGUAAGAUCAAUCAUUUCAAUUGCUGUGACAUAUAACUGGCAGCUAAGACAACUGGAUAUCAAAAAUGCCUUCCUAAAUGGCUUUCUAAACGAAACAGUAUACAUGAGACAACCAACUGGGUUUCAUAAUAAGAGUUAUCCAGAUCAUGUGUGUCUAUUACAUAAGGCUCUAUAUGGCUUAAAACAAGCACCCAGAGCUUGGUACUCAAGACUUCAAAAUUUUCUAGUUGAAAACGAAUUCAAAAAUAGUCUUACAGAUUCUUCAUUGUUCCUCAAAGUGAACAAUGGACAUAGAAUCUACAUACUAGUCUAUGUAGAUGAUAUUAUAAUUACUGGGGAUUCUAGUGAGGAAGUAAAUAGGUGCAUAGAAUUAAUAUGUAAACAAUUUUCAUGUAGAGACCUAGGGCUUCUUAACUAUUUUUUAGGAAUGGAAUGUAUAAGACAAGGGAAAACCAUAAUUCUAAGUCAAGAAAAAUAUGUGUCUGAUAUAUUGAAAAAAUUCAAUAUGAUGGAAUGCACACCAUGUAGGAUACCAAUGGUUCAAAAUCCAAGACUAAAUAAAAAUUCAGGGACUCCUAUAGAAAACAAUACAAUAUACAGAAACAUUGUAGGGUCCUUACAAUAUCUAACUAUGACUAGACCUGAUAUUGUCUUUUGUGUGAAUCAUCUUAGUCAGUUUCUACAAACACCAACUGAUGUACAUCUUAGUUUUGCUAAGAGGAUGCUAAGAUAUAUCAAGGGAUCUUCUAACCUAGGACUGAGAUUUACACCUUCAGUCAAACCAGUAAAUUCUUUGAUAGCCUACUGUGAUUCAGACUGGGCAAAUGAUACUGAUGAUAGGAGAUCAGUUUCUGGAUUCAGCAUCUGGUUUGCUGGAAAUUUGGUAGCCUGGGCAUCAAAGAAACAAGCAGUGGUAUCAAAAUCGAGUUGUGAGGCUGAAUACAGGGCACUAUCUGGGAUAACUUCAGAAGUUAAGUGGUUCUGUAAUUUGUUUAGGGAACUGGAGAUUAGGUUUGAGACAGCUCCACAAAUAUUAUGUGAUAAUAAAUCAGCAAUUUUUCUCACUAAAAAUCCAUCAUCAAACCUGAAAACUAGACAUAUAGAUAUCUCACACCAUUUUAUUAGAGAGCUGGUGAUGAAAGGGGCAAUAAAAGUGGAUUAUAUUGCUGCUAGUCAACAACUAGCAGAUGGUUUCACUAAAGUACUGGGAACAGGGCAAUUUAUGGUUCAUAGGGAUAGACAUAAACUAGUACCAACCAGUCCUGAUCCUAGAAUCAUAAUGAAGGACAAGAAUAGGCUAACAAAAUCGCAAGACAUAAGUAAACCAAAGCUAAUUAAGGAGGCUUAGGAGAAUGACUAUAUAAGGGAGACUAUAAUACUGGAUAUUAGUUUAGAUAUAUAAUAAUAAUAAUAAUAAUGAAAAUACUGAGGUGUUGUAUUUCUGAUUUCUGUUCUUAUAGUAAUACUUGUAUUCAUAUUAGGAAAUGUUAGAUAAAUAUGAUGUUGAAAAUUGCAGGGUGAUAAUCUGAAAUAUAUUCUAAAACUAUUUCUAGUUUUGGUUUGAUACAUAAUUUUGUCUGUUUGUUAAGGAAUGGUCUAUAUUUUUCUGUUUUUGGUUUGUGGGAAUGGCUACUGUGGAUGUAUGUUUGUGUGGUUGCAGGUCAUGCUAAGAUAGGUCAUGCCCAAAUAACUGGAAAUUUAAUCUGGAGCAGAAAAUGUGGAAUCUAGAGCAGCAGGAGCUUUGAGAAUGAGCAGCGAUUUUUUUUGUUUUGUUCUUUCUUUCAGGGUCUUAAUUGGUAUAACAGGAGGGUUUUCCCAGUAAAAAUGAAAGAAAGAGGAGCAAAAAUAAGAAUCCCAGCUGGGUUUUUCGCCCUACCUGUUAGCUCAAUUAAUUCAUAGCUGAGUUAGUUCACAAGACUACUAAGGAGGUGGACAGACAAGCUGAUGAUCAUACUCAUGUUCAAAUUCACAACUCAGGAUUGCAUUCUGGAGUUGUCAAUUUGCGGGGGAAUGUAAAGAGUUAAAAAUACUAUAAGGGGUUUUGUAUAAAUGUACCCAUAAUAUUAAGUAUAAGUAUAGGCUUUGUGUAAUGAUUAGUUAAGUUGAAUGUUAUAAUUCUUGAGUGUCAAUUAAAGAGUUUACUCUUUCUUCUUCUUGUUUUGACCUAACGACUUCAUUCUCCCCCUUUCUUCUAUCUUCUUCUUCUAUCAAUUUCUUGUUGAUGAUUCAGUGAAUGGAAACCUCUCCAGAUUUCUACAUGGUAUCUAGAGCUUUGUGAUUCGAUUGGGGCAUCUGGGCGUUAGGGCACGGCGAGCGCGGAAUCUUCUCAGCGUGAUUUCUUCUCGGCGUGAAUUGGAGCGGUUCCUGUUCUGUUCUUUUCUUUUCUUCCCGGCUACAGCGCGUGGUCUUUCUCUUCUCUUCUCGGCUGGCGUGGUCUUUCUUCUCGGCUGGCGUGGUCUUUCUUCUCGGCUGGCGUGGUCUUUCUCUUCUCUUCUCGGCGGCGUGAAUUUCUGGGUCUUUUCUUCUCGGCUGGCGUGGUCUUUCUUCGGCUACAGCGUGGUUCUUCUCGCCGAUUGAUUGCAAUCUGCGAUUGCAACUCUGGUUUGAAUUUUUUAUUUUUUAUUUAUUUCAUUUUUCUGUUAUCUGCAAUUGCAAGUUAUUGAACCAUUGAUUUCCAAAUUUUUUAAUUAGAUUCUGUUUGUGUUUGGAUUGAUCUGUAAGUCUGAAUUUGUUUGUGUUUGAUUUGCGUUAGAUUACGUGUUACAUUUGAUUUCAAUUUUUCAGAUUUUGUGUUCAUUGAUUUCAAUUUUUUUUUUAGAACCCAAAACGGUUGCUUGUGUCAUUGAUCCCUGGCAUUUUAUCGAUUUCUUCUAUUUCUCAUCUCGUUUUCGCCUCGUUGUUUCGUUGCUUGUUCCCCUAUAGUUUUAUUUGAUUUCGUUGGAAACUCCCUAUCAGUCUGCUAGUUUCUUUAAUCCUACUCGGUCGUUCUUUUCCAAUAGUUCAUUUGAGUGCGAUUAAAAUCUGUUUUGGGUUUACAGAUUACCUGUUAGUUUUGUUUGAGUUUACAAUAUUUUUUUUUUUUUAAUUUUCUCAUUUGAUUUAAUCUGUUUACAGAUUUGUUUUGCAUUUGAUUUCUGCGUUUUUAUCUGUUAGUAUUUUACUGAUAUUUUUUUUGCUGACAUCGAUUUGGUAUUUUCUUCUUCUUUAUUUGCCUGUUAGUAUUUGGUAUUUGGUAUUUUACUGUUAGUAUUCUUCUUCUUCUUAAAUUUUAGUUUUUUUUUUUUUUAUUUUUUUUUUUCUUUCUUUAAAUUUUGUCAUAGAUCUGUCGAUCUGUCAUCGAUCUGACAUUUUCUGUUUUUGGUUUAUGUUUUUUGUUGUUGUUGUUUGGUAAUUGAUUUCAUUGAUUUCAUCAAAUUUGUUGUUGUUUUUAGUUGUUUGUUUUUGCUGGUUAUUAAAUUUAAUUCUGAAUAAUUGCAUGCACAUAACUACAUUUUGUUUGCUUGUGUUGCAUACUAAUUAUAAAUUGUUUUUUUUUUGUUUUGUUGUUUUUGUUGUUUGGUAAUUGAUUUCAUUGAUUUCAUCAAAUUUGUUGUUGUUUUUAGUUGUUUGUUUUUGCUGGUUAUUAAAUUUAAUACUGAAUAAUUGCAUGCUAAAUCACAUAUGAAUUUAUCAGAUUGCAUGCUAAUAAAAAUAAUAAUAAUAAAUAAAUAAAAACAAAUAUCUGAUUGUGUAGUUUCUACCCACUUGAAAGUAGAUCAUAACUACAUUUUCUACUCAAUCGAUCGAUUGUGUAGUUUAUAGUUUGCUUGUAGUUGUAAAUUACAAUUGCCCAAGUGGUUAAUUGUUAUUUUGUUUGUGACGCAAGGAGCUGGUUUUUUUUUCUGGAUCUGCGAAUCAGCUUCUGUAAUCAUUGUUUUCUGUUGAGUGGCGAUUUCCAUCUUGAGCUAUGGCAGGAAUUGGAUCAAGUACAUCUGGUGCUGGAAGUGCAGCUGUGACAGCAAGGAUCGAAGUUCCUCAAAUGAUGUAUAGUAUUGCGUCACUCUGUCCCACACCUCUUUCAGAAGGGAAUUAUCUAGUAUGGAAAAAUCAAUUUGAAGGUGCAUUACAAAUACAUAAUUUGUUAGAUUUUAUUUCUGGAAAACUUGGGACUCCGGCUCUAAGAUUAAGUGAUGGCUCUGAAAAUCCGGCAUAUGCGUCUCACAAGAGGAACGAUGGCAUAGUGCUCAGUUGGAUUAAAGCCACGGUAUGUAAGGAAAUUCAGCCUCUACUUUUACCUUGUGUUACUGCAUAUGAGGCAUGGCAUAUUUUAGAAACAGAUAUUUCGCCUAUUGAUAAAAAUCAAAUUCAAACUCUUCGUGAUGAGUUGAAUUCACUAAGGAAGACAACAGAUAUUUCAAUGAAAGAAUAUAUUUUCAAGAUUAAGAGUUUGAAACACUCUCUAGCAGCAGCAGGAUAUUCAAUGUCUGAUGAAAGAGUGUCAGAGUAUGUUCUCAGAGGUCUUGGACCUGAAUUCCGUAUGUUUAGGACAUCUCUGAAUUUUCAGAAGGAUAUUACUUUUACAGAACUUGCAGAUGCUCUUAUUAAAGAAGAAAUUUUGAUGAAACAACUGGAUCAACCAACAACUGAAGGGGAUUAUCAGGUGCAUUAUUCCAAUUAUAAUAGGAAUAAUUUCAAUAGAAAUGCUAAAUUUUAUCCAGGGAAAGGCAAGAAUGGUGGUUCUUAUUAUAAACCAUCAUACAAAAAUCAAGGAACAAAGGUCAUAACUGUUCCUCCUCAAAUUGCUCGGAAUAAUUUGCCUCCCAUUCUGAAUCUACCAUCUUCACAGGACAACACAUCUACGUGUCAGAUUUGUGAGAAAAAAGGACAUCUGGCUAGAAAUUGCCCAGAUAGAGGUAAUUUUGCUGCCUAUGCCAUGGAGGAUGAUUAUGAUACUCAGAUAACUGGAAAUGAAGAAGAAGCAGCAGCAUAUUCUGUAACAGUCCAAGAUCUGGAUUGGUGUCUUGACUCAGGAGCUACUAAUCACAUGGUAGCUGAUGAAGCCUUGCUCCAUGACUGCCAGACCUAUACAGGUAUUGGGUGUGUUGUGAUUGGAUCUGGAGAUAGAUUAGUAAUUUCUAAAAUAGGAAAGUUAGACUUUGAAGUGCAUUCAAAGGUUUAUACACUUAAUAGAGUUUUAUGUGUGCCUAAGAUUAAGAAAAAUCUAAUUUCUGUGACUAAACUAUGUAGUGAUUUGAACUGUUAUAUACAGAUUUCACAGAAGGAAUUUUCAGUGAAGAGCCUGAAGAUGCAUCAGACGCUUUUUUCUGGAAUUAAUAAAAGAGGGCUAUACUAUUUCAGCCCGGACAUCAACUGUAAUUUGGGUAUCAAGAUCUCUUCAGAUACAUGGCACAAGAGACUAGGACAUCCUUCUCUCAAAAUCAUGAAUAAAAUAGGACAUGUAUUAGGAUUAAACAAUUCAGAUUUAAAAUCUUUAGAAUUUUGUAAUAACUGUCCUAUGGCAAAAAUGUCGAAAUUACCUUUUUCUUGUAAUGAAAUAAAAACUUCUUUUCCAUUGGAAAUAAUACAUAUAGAUCUAUGGGGUCCAGCCCCAAUUGUUUCAAUGAAAAAUUAUAAAUUUUUUGCAACAAUUGUAGAUAAUAAAACAAGGUAUACAUGGAUUAUACUAUUAAGGGCUAAAAGUGAUUUUACUGAUCAGUUUAUUCUAUUUCAGAAAAAUAUAGAAAACCAGUUAGGGCGAAAAAUUAAGAAAAUUUAUUCAGAUGAGGGUGGUGAAUUUCUUAGUACCAAGCUGAAAACUUGGCUAGGACAAAAAGGAAUAACACAUAGAUUCUCAUGUCCCUAUACACCUCAACAAAAUGGGAUCGUUGAGAGGAAACAUAGACACCUGCUUGAGACCAGCAGAUGUUUUUUUACUCAAUCAGGAAUUCCAAAAAAAUAUGUGGCCAGAGGUCAUCUCUGCAGCAUGUUUUCUGAUAAAUAGGUUACCUAGUUCUGUUUUAGGGUUCAUAUCUCCCUUUGAGAUGUUAACCAAAAAUAAACCAGAUUAUAAAAUACUGAAAUUAUUUGGUUGUUCAUGUUAUCCCUUAAUAAGUAAAGGAUUAAGGAAUAAAUUUGAACCUACUGCCUAUAAAUGUGUCUUUAUAGGGUAUUCAAACAAACACAAAGGAUAUAUGUGUUUAAAGUUAGAAGAUAAUAAAGUCAUUAUAUCUCGAAAUGUCAAAUUUAAUGAAAAUGAGUAUCCUUUUUUAACUAAAACAGAUACUAAAACAGUAAAGAAGCCUGAAAAGCAAAUGAUAAUACUUCCAAGACUAGCUACUACAAUAAAUUUUGGCUUUCCUAUAAAUACAGGAAACUCAAACAGUGAGUUAAGGGUAGAACCAGAGUCAAGUCCUGUAAGGAGAGUUACUCACUCACAACAGAACAACUCUAAAAAUGACUCAAUGGAUAUAAUCUCAGAGUCAACUGAGAUAAGUAGCUUAGUACCCCAGACCAUGCGAGUUGAGUCAGAUAUGCAAUCUAACACUAGAAGUGAGACAAGACAACAAAGAGAUAUUUCUGAGAAUCAAACAAACACAGUUUGUAACUCAAUAUCACGAGAUAUAAGUAGUAGAUCUGAAGAACCAAUCAACAUAGGAGUUAGAUAUCCGACUAGAGAUAGAAAAGCACCAAAGUUUUUAGAAAAUUAUGAGUGUAAUUCAUGCUCUGGCGAAGAGAUAGAACCAUCCACCUUCAGUGAGGCAAGUAAAGAACCUAAGUGGAAGGAGGCAAUGCAAGAGGAACUGGAUGCAUUGAAAAUUAACAAAACAUGGACUUUAGUACCAAAAAAUUCGUCAAUGAAUAUAGUAGGUUGUAAGUGGGUCUAUAAAAUUAAAAAGAACUCAGAUGGUUCAAUAGAAAGGUACAAAGCUAGAUUAGUAGCUAAGGGCUACAAUCAGGAGGAAGGAGUGGACUAUACAGAGACUUACAGUCCAGUAAUUAGGAUGAACACAGUAAGAUCAAUCAUUUCAAUUGCUGUGACAUAUAACUGACAGCUAAGACAACUGGAUAUCAAAAAUGCCUUCCUAAAUGGCUUUCUAAACGAAACAGUAUACAUGAGACAACCAACUGGGUUUCAUAAUAAGAGUUAUCCAGAUCAUGUGUGUCUAUUACAUAAGGCUCUAUAUGGCUUAAAACAAGCACCCAGAGCUUGGUACUCAAGACUUCAAAAUUUUCUAGUUGAAAACGAAUUCAAAAAUAGUCUUACAGAUUCCUCAUUGUUCCUCAAAGUGAACAAUGGACAUAGAAUCUACAUACUAGUCUAUGUAGAUGAUAUUAUAAUUACUGGGGAUUCUAGUGAGGAAGUAAAUAGGUGCAUAGAAUUAAUAUGUAAACAAUUUUCAUGUAGAGACAUAGGGCUUCUUAACUAUUUUUUAGGAAUGGAAUGUAUAAGACAAGGGAAAACCAUAAUUCUAAGUCAAGAAAAAUAUGUGUAUGAUAUAUUGAAAAAAUUCAAUAUGAUGGAAUGCACACCAUGUAGGACACCAAUGGUUCAAAAUCCAAGACUAAAUAAAAAUUCAGGGACUCCUAUAGAAAACAAUACAAUAUACAGAAACAUUGUAGGGUCCUUACAAUAUCUAACUAUGACUAGACCUGAUAUUGUCUUCUGUGUGAAUCAUCUUAGUCAGUUUCUACAAACACCAACUGAUGUACAUCUUAGUUUUGCUAAGAGGAUGCUAAGAUAUAUUAAGGGAUCUUCUAACCUAGGACUGAGAUUUACACCUUCAGUCAAACCAGUAAAUUCUUUGAUAGCCUACUGUGAUUCAGACUGGGCAAGUGAUACUGAUGAUAGGAGAUCAGUGUCUGGAUUCAGCAUCUGGUUUGCUGGAAAUUUGGUAGCCUGGGCAUCAAAGAAACAGGCAGUGGUAUCAAAAUCGAGUUGUGAGGCUGAAUACAGGGCACUAUCUGGGAUAACUUCAGAAGUUAAGUGGUUCUGUAAUUUGUUUAGGGAACUGGAGAUUAGGUUUGAGACAGCUCCACAAAUAUUAUGUGAUAAUAAAUCAGCAAUUUUUCUCACUAAAAAUCCAUCAUCAAACCUGAAAACUAGACAUAUAGAUAUCUCACACCAUUUUAUUAGAGAGCUGGUGAUGAAAGGGGCAAUAAAAGUGGAUUAUAUUGCUGCUAGUCAACAACUAGCAGAUGGUUUCACUAAAGUACUGGGAACAGGGCAAUUUAUGGUUCAUAGGGAUAGACAUAAACUAGUACCAACCAGUCCUGAUCCUAGAAUCAUAAUGAAGGACAAGAAUAGGCUAACAAAAUCGCAAGACAUAAGUAAACCAAAGCUAAUUAAGGAGGCUUAGGAGAAUGAUUAUAUAAGGGAGACUAUAAUACUGGGUAUUAGUUUAUAUAUAUAAUAAUAAUAAUAAUAAUAAUAAUGAAAAUACUGAGGUGUUGUAUUUCUGAUUUCUGUUCUUAUAGUAAUACUUGUAUUCAUAUUAGGAAAUGUUAGAUAAAUAUGAUGUUGAAAAUUGCAGGGUGAUAAUCUGAAAUAUAUUCUAAAAUUAUUUCUAGUUUGGUUUGAUACAUAAUUUUGUUUGUUUGUUAAGGAAUGGUCUAUAUUUUUCUGGUUUGGUUUGUGGGAAUGGCUACUGUGGAUGUAUGUUUGUGUGGUUGCAGGUCAUACUAAGAUAGGUCAUGCCCAAAUAGCUGGAAAUUUAAUCUGGAGCAGAAAAUGUGAAAUCUAGAGCAGCAGGAGCUUUGAGAAUGAGCAGCGAGUUUUUUUGUUUGUUCUUUCUUUCAGGGUCUUAAUUGGCAUAACAGGAGGGUUUUCCCAGUAAAAAUGAAAGAAAGAGGAGCAAAAAUAAGAAUCCCAGCUGGGUUUUUCGCCCCCCCUGUUAGUUCAAUUAAUUCAUAGCUGAGUUAGUUCACAAGGCUGCUAAGGAGGUGGACAGACAAGCUGAUGAUCAUACUCAUGUUCAAAUUCACAACUCAGGAUUGCAUUCUGGAGUUGUCAAUUUGCGGGGGAAUGUAAAGAGUUAAAAUACUAUAAAGGGUAUUUUAUAAAUGUACCCAUAAUAUCAAGUAUAAGUAUAGGCUUAAUGUGUAAUGAUUGAAUAAGUUGAAUGUUAUAAUUUUGAGUGUCAAUUAAAGAGUUUUUGCUCUACUCUUUUUCUUCUUGUUUGACCUAACAACUUCCAUUCACCCCCUUUCUUCUAUCUUCUUCUUCUAUCAUUUUCUUGUUAAUGAAUCAUUGAGGAAACCUCUCCAGAUUUCUACAUUAC